CAUUAACAAAUCCAAUAAUUGUGAGGGGACUACCAAGUCUUUUUGCAAAUAUUAAUCCGCCGGCUCUAGCAGCUGGCUGUGAUAUAAAUGCGUGUAAUGUUGACAGUGUGUGUAUAAAAGUUAAUUUAUUGACAACUUUUAACAAUGGAUCUCUAGGCUCUUGCAACGAUGAAGAACGCAGCAAAAUGCGAAACGUGAUGCGAUUUGCAUGAAUCUGUGAGUCAUCUAAUCUUUGAACGCGAAUGGCACUGUUACGUAAGUAGCAGUAUGUCUGUUUGAGAAUCGCAAAAACGAUCAACUCUAGUUAAGAGUUGGAACUGGCCUUAUAUGCUGCUUUGCAUAUUUGGUUUGAAUAUAUUGAGUUGAUGAGCCUCCCAAUGUUGCUCAAUGUGUGCUAGCGAGACAGUCGUCCCGAUCUCACAUUAAAGCUUUGUUGCAAGGUUCUAUACACAACUUUUGUUUCAUUAUCAAUUAUGAUCUCAAAUCAGACAAGAUUACCC
rnacentral:rRNA from 1 species